GAAAGCAUUUGCCAAGGACGUUUUCAUUAAUCAAGAACGAAAGUUAGGGGAUCGAAGAUGAUCAGAUACCGUCGUAGUCUUAACCAUAAACUAUGCCGACUAGGGAUCGGGUGUUGUCCUUUUUUUGGCGCACUCGGCACCUUACGAGAAAUCAAAGUUUUUGGGUUCUGGGGGGAGUAUGGUCGCAAGGCUGAAACUUAAAGGAAUUGACGGAAGGGCACCACCAGGAGUGGAGCCUGCGGCUUAAUUUGACUCAACACGGGGAAACUCACCAGGUCCAGACACAAUAAGGAUUGACAGAUUGAGAGCUCUUUCUUGAUUUUGUGGGUGGUGGUGCAUGGCCGUUCUUAGUUGGUGGAGUGAUUUGUCUGCUUAAUUGCGAUAACGAACGAGACCUUAACCUACUAAAUAGUGCUGCUAGCUUUUGCUGGUAUAGUCACUUCUUAGAGGGACUACCGAUUUCAAGUCGGUGGAAGUUUGAGGCAAUAACAGGUCUGUGAUGCCCUUAGACGUUCUGGGCCGCACGCGCGCUACACUGACGGAGCCAGCGAGUAUUAACCUUGGCCGAGAGGUCUGGGAAAUCUUGUGAAACUCCGUCGUGCUGGGGAUAGAGCAUUGUAAUUGUAAUUAUUGCUCUUCACGAGGA
rnacentral:rRNA from 1 species